rnacentral:rRNA from 1 species
AAAAACAUGUCUCUUUGUAUCACACACAUAAAGAGUCGGACCUGCCCGGUGAAAUUUUUUAACGGCCGCGGUAUUUUGACCGUGCGAAGGUAGCAUAAUAAUUUGCUCUAUAAUUGGGGGCUGGUAUGAAUGGUUUGACGUGAGCGAUACUGUCUCUACUUUAAUUAUUUAGAAUUUGAUUUUUAGGUGAAGAAACCUAAAUUACAUUAAAAGACAAGAAGACCCUAUUGAGCUUUAAAGAAUUUAGUAAGGUGCUGGCUUAUUUUCUAUAAGCUUUAUUUAUUAAAUAUUUUGGUUGGGGCGACUAAGGAACAAAUAAAGCUUCUUUAUGAUGAGAGUUUUACUGAUUUUGAUCCAAAUUUUUUUGAUUUAAGAAAUUAGUUACCAUAGGGAUAACAGCAUAAUUCUUUUUAAGAGUUCAUAUCGAAAAGAGAGUUUGUGACCUCGAUGUUGGACUAGAAUAUCCUAAAGAUGUAGCAGUCUUUAAGGGUUGGUCUGUUCGACCAUUAAAAUUCUACGUGAU